UAGUUUAUAGCCUACCAAAUUGUUUUCUUUCCUUCAUUACCAAUGCUUUAAAAAAUCUAAUUAACUCAAUAAAGUAUUUAGUCCUCAUGAACUCUUGCAAGCAAAACAGGUUUUAGAAAAAGAAAGCAACUACAAUAUAUGUAUUUUUUUAAUGAGUGGAACAUUACCAAUUUCUUAACUGCCAUCUACUUAAAAUCUAAGUGCAUUUUCCAGUAGUAGUUUCGUGCUGUGUGGAUGACACUAUCAUGCUAACUCUUGCUUUGUGUGGGUUUGGUGUAGGCUUUUGAAAAGCAAGACGUGUCUAGGAGGGAGGCACCAGGGAACUUCCCUCCCUCGCUUGAGCACAGUCCAAGAUGAAAGUUUCUGGGUUGUUUCCCUUCGCUUCCUCUCACCCUCGCUCCCCCUCGGAGCCGCAGAGCCAGCAAUUGUGCAAGAAGAGCCGGGUGUGCAGGGCGCGUAUCACCAAGCGCAUGGUACGAGCCGCCGACUCUGGUGAUUAAUUAUCAGUUGCCGCUGGCCUCACACUAACACGUCGGCUUUCGGGGCAGAGCCAGCACACCCAGCCGCCGGCAGCGCGGCCCGGACCGAGCAGCGGCUCUGGGGAGGACGCCGCGGCUGCGCCCGAGUUUACACCUUCUCCAGAUGGCUCCUGGCAACCUUGGCUGGGCAUUUCAACAUAUAGGAAACUCAGCCAGAACAGCCUGAAGAUUUCAGGGGACAAGAUCAUGGUCCAAAUUGGAAAAUGCAGCUCACUCCAGGAAGGACUAACAGUCACCUGACUAGGAGAAGACUGGCCCCAAAGCGCUGGGAAGAAGUCAUUCUAUAGUGACCUAAUCUGGAGUGGAAUGUGCUGUAUCUGUCCUGAGGCCAAGAGGUGGCACUGAGUCUAACAGGCUCAACCUGAUAUUCUAGCAGACCUGACAAAUGAACCAUCAGCUGUCCUGUAGCUCUGAUGUCCAAAGCCAUUUGGAAUAUCUGUGAUUCCAAGUUCUAAAUCCCCAUCAUGAUAAAACCUUAAAAUAAUGCCUCUAUUGAAACUACUUUGAACAUUUAUUGAUAACACAUAAGCACUUUCUUUAAAAAAUUUUUUUAAUAUUAAUUUAUUUUUGAGAGAGAGAGAGACAGGGCACAAGCGGGGGAGGGGCAGAGAGAGAAGGAGACAGAGAAUCUGAAGCAGGCUCCAGGCUCUGAGCAGUCAGCACAGAGCCCGACAGGGGGCUCAAACUCACAGACCGCAAGAUCAUGACCUGAGCCGAACUCACACGCUUAACCGACUGAGCCACAUACAUAAGAAUUUUCUAAUUGACGUAUUUGACACUGUGAGCCUGUUUAAACACACUGAGGAGCUGCCUGAAGAUUUAGGAAGUGCAGAGACAGGAGAGACCUGGUAGCAAUCAUUUUCUUCAAGGAAACUAAGAUUGUAAGAGAUUUAAGAAAACCUGUCUUGGAACAAACAACCCAAGCCCCUAAACUAGGACUCCAAACAUUGUGUCUACUGGUCUAGCUCAAACCAGGCUGUAGCUCUAUAUGCAGGAACCUUUCUCUUUUUACUAAGAAGUUUUGUUUUUUAAAUAGCAACAGCUCUACUAAAAUAUGCUCACUUAUAUCUGUCAUAUCCACUAGUGUAAAGAGAAAAAGAAUGUAAGUACAGAGAGUACAAACAAUUGAAUAAUUUCUAUGUUCCUUAAGAACAGUUAUUCUCAAAGUAUGGUCUCAGGACCAGCAGCAUCAACAUCACCUGGGGACUUGUCAGAAAGGCAAAUACUCAGGCCCUCCCCAAAACUGGCAGAAUCAAGGAGCGCCUGGGUGGCUCAGUAGGUUAAGCAUCUGACUCUUGAUUUUGGCUUAGGUCAUGAUCUCACAGUUCAUGGGGUUGGGCUCUGUGCUGACAGCAUGGAGCCUGCUUGGGAUUCUCAUCUCCCCACCUCCGCUCCCCCAACCCCAGCUCUCUACCCCUCCUUCGUUUGUACGCACACACACACACACACGCGCUCUCUCUCGCAAAAUAAAUUUCUUUAAAAAAAUCAGCAGAUCAAAACAUCUAGGAGUAGGGCCCAGCAGUUUGUGACUAAACAUGACCUCUAAGUGAUUCAGAUGCAUGCUCAAAUUUAAUUGCCUUAUCUUUAGCAUAUACACUAUGAUUUACUGAGCUUCAUAUUAAAAAUAUUUAAAAUGGCUGAUGCUCCUUAAGGAUAUAAUCAACUGGCUAGGAGCCAAAAACAGACCCACAAAUAGAUCUAUUUUUUUAAUGUUUAUUUAUUUGGGGGGGGGGAGAGAGAGACAGAGAGAGAGAGAGAGAGA